rnacentral:lncRNA from 1 species
AAGAAGUUAAAAAAACUCUUUCAAUCAGUAAACAUCGCAGCAAACGAUUCAAGAAGAUACGAAGAUGAAAUUCAUUUUCAGUGUUUGUCUUGUUGUUACAUCUGUAGCAGUUCUAAGUUUUGCCACAGAGUUAUCAUUAGAUAACCAGGAGUUUCAGCGCUCCAAACGUGCGGUUGCUCUGGAAUAUUGUCCAGAUAAGUCAACACCUGCUGAAUGUAAAGAGUAUGCUAAAGAAGUUUCAAAAAUAAUGAAUUAUUGUCAUAACUUUGUUAUCAGCAAGAACACAAUUCAAUGGCAAAGCUGUGGAAUAGUCAGUUGCGAAGGUUUAAAGGUUAUCCCUCAAGAUUUAAGCAAACCUUAUCCGAACUGCUGCCAAAGAUGUAAAGUAUAAACUGAGUAGAUGAAGAGGAAGUGCUAUUCGUAUGCUAUAAAAAAGCUAAUAUACAUAAAACAAAAGAAAUAAAAAAGUAUACCGUUUAGUGAUAUAGUUUUGAUUUAUUUUUAUUAUAAACUGUAACAAAGAAAUUUUUCUCGAUAUUAAUGAUAAGUUUCUAUAUAAAUGUGUAUUUGGCGAAUAAAUUGGAGAUUAUAAGGUCAAUGUAAAUUAAGCUUUACAAAAACAGUUCAUAAAAAGAGCUUUUUACAGAAAUAAUUGUACUUGAAGAAGUAUAGAAAAAUAGAAAGCUACAAAAUAAAUGUUUGAUAUCAUCAAGAAUGCUUAAUAAAAAGUGUAAUUAUAAUAACAAGCAUAUUAUAAAAUACAAAAAUGUACUAAUUUAAAUCAAUUUCGUGGUAAUACAGAGGUCGUCUGAAUUGAACAAAUAUUUUUUUAUCAGUGCUACUUUUUUACAUAAAAAGAUAGUCUAAAUUCGUUUGCACUUGCGCAAAUACAUUAUGAAUGUCAUUUGUCACGUGUUCCUUCGUGUUCAAUGUUAUUAAAACCUUUUCAAAUCUCAUCGGUCAAAUGCUGAGUAAAUAAAUCUUAUUUUAUGACAUAUUCAGUGUUGUACAAAUAAUUUUUUUCAUUUCAUUUUAACAUGUAAAAGUUCACAAUAAUAAACCAAAGUAAGAUUUAAAAAAGCAGGUUAAGCAUAAUAAGUAUUAUAAUUAUUUACGGCGAUAAGGAAUAUAGGAAAUUUAUUUUAUUUAUACUAAUUAAAAUUAUUAUUACUUUAUAAGUAAUUUUUUCCUACUUAAUAUGGUUCUUGCAUUUAGAUGCUUUCUAUCUCCUUUUAUUUUGGGCAUUUUACUUUCAGAACUGUGUUUCACCGACUGUUUACUAUCAAUUCAAAACAUGGGCCAUCUAUCAAUACGGAAGACGCGGAUGUCUCUCCGAAAUUCCAAACAAUAAUGAAUAUUUAUAAAACAAGAUAAUAAAACUCUAUUUUAAAAAAAAAACAGAGAAAAAAUCAAAAUAGCAUUAAACAUUGAUUUAAGACCUGAUCGGUCGAACAAGUAGCUAGUUGAUCUUAGCACAAGUGCGCAAGUCUUUCAACAGGAAAUUCCCACUACGAUUCUGCGGGCAAUAUCAGAGAGUCCACCACGUGCAAUUUACGCAGACAGUAGACACAAUCUUAUCUUCUUUACAGACACACGGGAACAAGCUUGUUUUGCGCAAGGUAGGGAUGAACCCGUUAAAAUGUAUAUAAGCGUCUUCGAGAAAGCAGAUGGUAUAGUAAUCAAACUCGUAUAGCUGUGUUAACUACUAGUAUCAGAAUGAAGUUCGCGAUUGUCUUCUGCGUUUUGGCGCUCGUCGUCGCUCUUGCAACUACUAAGCCCGCAGAAAAUACUACGCCGAAGUGGGAUCUUGAAACUUGUGAGGAACGAGCAGUUAUAGCUAGGCGUGAAAGCAACCGCUGCGAAGAUUACCAAUGCAUUAUGCACUCGCAUGGACUGGUUUUGGACGGAGUAAACUGCAAAGAUCACCCGACUGAUUAAUAAGGAUUCAUAAAUGGAGUGAAAUCAUCUACUAAUAAGAAGUUGACAGAAAUACCUUUAAAUGUCUAUUACGUCUACUGUCAUCAUAAUUCAUUUGUUUACUGCAUGCGUCUAUUAGUUACUAACUAUAAUUUAGCUAUUAAUUGAUUUUUUUAUUAAAGAAUAAUUAUAUUCAAAUAUGUUAAAAUGAUUUUGCGUUCCUCAUCAUUUAAUAUUUCCAUGACUUUUUUAUCAAAAUUUAAAACAUCGGUGAUUUGCAAAUGCUGAUAAAAUAGUUCAUUAAAAGUUGUUUAAUAUUCAUCGAAAGUUGGAUCGGGGAUAAUCGGAUAAUUCUGCGAAGUGCCGAUAACAACUGCAAUUCAAUACUAAAACUUUGUAUAAAACUUUAACAAAGCAAUACGACAAUUAAUUUCUCAACCGUGUUAUACCUUCAACUAAAAAAGUUGUGAACAGAAAGUCUAUAUAUAAGUGAAACCGACCCAUCUUUAGACAGUAUACGCGUUUUGUUGAACAGAGCAUUUAAAAUAUUUUUGAACUGCUGAAUAAUGCAAAAUUUUAUCCUAAUUUUAGUUAUAUUUGUAGUGUCAAUAUUUGCACAAUCCGAAGAUGACAUGCGACCAGAAUAUUGUAAUCCUUCAUCAAUCGAUCCAACAAUAUGCCAAUUACGAAAAUGCAAUGAAGAAAAUACACGCAUAUCUUUUGAAUCAUGCCCCAUUAUAAGUUGUUCUAAGGUUAUAGGAACAAGAGGAGAUCCUAGUAAACCAUACCCAGAUUGCUGUAUAACACCUAUUUGUGAUUAUUUCACAUUUCAAAGAAGUCCCACAUAUUACAGAUCAAACAUUUAAAAUGAUCAAAACGAGUAAAAAUAAAAAGUUGUUUGAAUAAGCAAACAUCAACCUUGGUUUUUCGUCGAUAGUAACGAUGUCAGAUAUAUGUGUGGAAUGUAAAUAAAAAAAAUUAGCAUAUGAUGUUCAGUAUCUAAAAUUACCAGUUUAGGCCUAUUAAUUUGAAAUAAUCUUUUGUAAUACAAUAGAAACAUAUGUACACGACACACACAAGAUAGUAUUCAAAUCAAAGAUCGUGCCUUGAGAGAUAAUGCGCGAUGACUAUAAUUACUUAUUCAGCAUCGGUAUUUCCUGAUCUCUCUUCAUUCGUUUCAUAAAACCAGAUAAAAUACUCCCAUGUACCUUCAUCGAAUCAUAUUUUUAAAGAUGUGGUAAUAACAAGCGACUCAUGCAUCAGUUUUUAGUCGAAUCAUCAAUUCAAGGAGUUAAGUGGGAGAACCGAGAUAUAAGAGGAGAAGACUAUAUAUUCCUAGUUUUAAUAUCAAACAGUGUUUCGAAAGACUUAUUAAGAGGAACUACAGAAUACUUCCUUACGAUAUUUAUUAAUUAAGAUAGUAGACAUGAAGUAUUUCGUAAUCCUUUGCCUAAUAGCAGCGUCAACUUUUACAGCAGUUAAAUCAAAGUCUGUAAAUAUUAAUAUAGAUACAAAAGAAGCCGAGUUAAAAGAAGAGUAUUGUGACUUUCCGAAGUACAGCCCAUUCAAGAGGGAAUGCGCAUUAUUCAAAUGCAGCGAAGACCGCACCAGAGUAUUAGCAAUACCGUGCCCUUACUCGCCAUGUCCAGCUAAAUUAAACUCCGGCCAAGAAAAAUUUUCCAAGCCGUAUCCAGAGUGUUGCGCGCCACCCGUAUGCAACUGAUUCUGAAACUUUCGUUUACUUAUUAAUUUGUCAUUGUUUGCGUUGUAAAUAUCAAACAUUAUAACUUUAUAAAUAAUUAUAUAACUUCAACUAAAUAGAAAAAUUGAA